CCUACGGGUGGCUGCAGUGGGGAAUAUUGCACAAUGGGCGCAAGCCUGAUGCAGCCAUGCCGCGUGUGUGAAGAAGGCCUUCGGGUUGUAAAGCACUUUCAGCGGGGAGGAAGGCGUUAAGGUUAAUAACCUUGUCGAUUGACGUUACCCGCAGAAGAAGCACCGGCUAACUCCGUGCCAGCAGCCGCGGUAAUACGGAGGGUGCAAGCGUUAAUCGGAAUUACUGGGCGUAAAGCGCACGCAGGCGGUCUGUCAAGUCGGAUGUGAAAUCCCCGGGCUCAACCUGGGAACUGCAUUCGAAACUGGCAGGCUAGAGUCUUGUAGAGGGGGGUAGAAUUGCAGGUGUAGCGGUGAAAUGCGUAGAGAUCUGGAGGAAUACCGGUGGCGAAGGCGGCCCCCUGGACAAAGACUGACGCUCAGGUGCGAAAGCGUGGGGAGCAAACAGGAUAGAUACCCUGGUAGUC
rnacentral:rRNA from 1 species